AUGGAGGCCGCCGCAGCGCCCGUGGCCAACCAGGGGGAAUCCCAUGGGACCGCAGCGAAGACGGCGCGGUGUGGCGACUCCGACGAGAGCGCCGCCGAUUUCAUCAGCAAGGUCCCCGAUGCCGUCCUCUGCACCAUCAUCUCCCUCCUCCCCACCAAGGACGGCGGCCGGACGCAGGUCUUCUCCCGCCGAUGGCGCCCCCUGUGGAGCGCCGCGCCUCUCAACCUCGAGGUCCGCACCCGUCACCCCGGCCCCGGCGUCCCCAUCCGCACCUCCUCCGUCUUCCCCGAUGCCGCCUCCGAGGUAAUCUCCCAGCAUCCUGGCCCCGCCCGCCGAUUCUGCUUCCACGGCCUCUGCCCCGGCGACCUCCACGACCAGGCGGAGACCUGGUUCCGCUCCCGAGCCCUCGCCAACCUUCAGCAGCUCGAUGUCGGCUACGCGUUCUGCGAUGAACGUAAUCCGGGGAGAAACCCGCUGCCGCCAUCGGCGCUCCGCUCUGCGCCUACCCUCCUAGCUGCCAAGAUCAGCUGUUGUGAUUUGCCCCGAGAGAUGGUGCCGUCCAUGGGCUUUGACCUCCUCCAGCGUCUCUCCUUGAUCUCCGUUUACAUCUCAGCGGACGUCUUCCGCGGACUGCUCCCUGCUUGCCGUGCCUUGGAGAGCUUACACAUGUCCAACGUUCUUGGCACGUGUUGCCUCCAUGUUCGCUCGCCUACUCUUAGGAGUAUAUGCUUCCGUGACACCUCUGGUAAAGCAGAGCUGGUCAUCGAGGAUGCGCCUCGCCUUGUGAGGAUACUAAUGCCUUUUGGUAUCCGAGAAAAUUGUGGUACUAUCCGGGUAAUUUGUGCGCCUAAACUGGUGAUAUUGGGCCCUUUGUUACCUGUCGUCUCCAAGCUCCUCCUAGUCUCCCAGGGAGCGAGUUCAGCCGACUUGGCAAACUCGAUGCACACCGUCAAGAUUUUGGCUCUUAGGUGUUCCGGGUAUGCAUUGGAUGGAGUUCUUAAUAUCCUUAGGAGGUUCCCCUGUCUCGAGAAGCUCUAUAUCAUUUUUCACAAACACUACGAGACGGAUGCAAAAAUCGAGCCUCAAUAUGACCGACUAUAUCCAAUUGAAUGCCUUCAAACCCAUCUCAAAACCGUGGUGUUUGAAACAUUCGUGGGCCAUGAUAAACAGCUUGAGUUUGCCAAGUUCUUUGUUUUGAAUGCAAAGGUGCUAAACAAAAUUGAAUUUGAAGGAAUAUAUGGUGCCACAAACGAUGUAUCGCUGGCUUAUCAACACACGCUGCUACGAGUGGAAAACAGAGCUUCUCGAGAUGCCCUAUUUGAAUUCAAUAGCAGAUAUCGCAAUACUGCGAUUCAUCUCCGCAGGCAUAUCCAUGAUUUGUCAGUGGCCGACCCCUUCGAACAGCUAUAG
rnacentral:rRNA from 1 species